GACGAACGCUGGCGGCGUGCUUAACACAUGCAAGUCGAACGGAAAGGCCCUGCUUUUGUGGGGUGCUCGAGUGGCGAACGGGUGAGUAACACGUGAGUAACCUGCCCUUGACUUUGGGAUAACUUCAGGAAACUGGGGCUAAUACCGGAUAGGAGCUCCUGCUGCAUGGUGGGGGUUGGAAAGUUUCGGCGGUUGGGGAUGGACUCGCGGCUUAUCAGCUUGUUGGUGGGGUAGUGGCUUACCAAGGCUUUGACGGGUAGCCGGCCUGAGAGGGUGACCGGCCACAUUGGGACUGAGAUACGGCCCAGACUGCUACGGGAGGCAGCAGUGGGGAAUAUUGCACAAUGGGCGGAAGCCUGAUGCAGCAACGCCGCGUGCGGGAUGACGGCCUUCGGGUUGUAAACCGCUUUCGCCUGUGACGAAGCGUGAGUGACGGUAAUGGGUAAAGAAGCACCGGCUAACUACGU
rnacentral:rRNA from 1 species